rnacentral:rRNA from 1 species
CGGCGUGCCUAACACAUGCAAGUCGUACGGAAAGCCGGCUUCGGCUGGUGAGUAAAGUGGCGCACGGGUGAGUAACGCGUGGAUAAUCUGCCCUUAAGUAGUUGGAAUAACGUACCGAAAGGUGCGCUAAUACCGCAUAAUGCCUGGCAACACAAGUUGUCCGGCCAAAGAAGGCCUCUGUUUACAAGCUUUCGCUUCAGGAUGAGUCCGCGUACCAUUAGCUUGUUGGUGGGGUAAUGGCCUACCAAGGCUGCGAUGGUUAGCUGGUCUGAGAGGAUGAUCAGCCACACUGGAACUGAGACACGGUCCAGACUCCUACGGGAGGCAGCAGUGAGGAAUAUUGCGCAAUGGGGGCAACCCUGACGCAGCAACGCCGCGUGAGUGAGGAAGGUUUUCGGACUGUAAAGCUCUGUCGAGCGGGAAGAAGUGUACCAUGGCUAAUAUCCAUGAUAUUUGACGGUACCGCUAGAGGAAGCACCGGCUAACUCCGUG